rnacentral:rRNA from 1 species
GACGAACGCUGGCGGCGUGCUUAACACAUGCCAGUCGAACGGAAAGGCCCUGCUUUUGUGGGGUGCUCGAGUGGCGAACGGGUGAGUAACACGUGAGUAACCUGCCCUUGACUUUGGGAUAACUUCAGGAAACUGGGGCUAAUACCGGAUAGGAGCUCCUGCUGCAUGGUGGGGGUUGGAAAGUUUCGGCGGUUGGGGAUGGACUCGCGGCUUAUCAGCUUGUUGGUGGGGUAGUGGCUUACCAAGGCUUUGACGGGUAGCCGGCCUGAGAGGGUGACCGGCCACAUUGGGACUGAGAUACGGCCCAGACUCCUACGGGAGGCAGCAGUGGGGAAUAUUGCACAAUGGGCGGAAGCCUGAUGCAGCAACGCCGCGUGCGGGAUGACGGCCUUCGGGUUGUAAACCGCUUUCGCCUGUGACGAAGCGUGAGUGACGGUAAUGGGUAAAGAAGCACCGGCUAACUACG